GACGAACGCUGGCGGCGUGCUUAACACAUGCAAGUAGAAAGGUGAAGCGCCUUCCUUUUUGGUGGGUGUGGAUGAGUGGCGAACGGGUGAGUAACACGUGAGUAACCUGCCCCCUUCUUCUGGAUAACCGCAUGAAAGUGUGGCUAAUACGGGAUAUUCUGGGUCUGUCGCAUGAUGGGUCUGGGAAAGAUAUUGUUUCGGUGGGGGAUGGGCUCGCGGCCUAUCAGCUUGUUGGUGGGGUGAUGGCCUACCAAGGCGGUGACGGGUAGCCGGCCUGAGAGGGUGGACGGUCACACUGGGACUGAGACACGGCCCAGACUCCUACGGGAGGCAGCAGUGGGGAAUAUUGCACAAUGGGCGCAAGCCUGAUGCAGCGACGCCGCGUGAGGGAUGGAGGCCUUCGGGUUGUGAACCUCUUUCGCCAGUGAAGCAGGCCUGCCUCGUUUGUGGGUGGGUUGACGGUAGCUGGAUAAGAAGCGCCGGCUAACUACGUG
rnacentral:rRNA from 1 species